rnacentral:rRNA from 1 species
AUACGGAGGGGGUUAGCGUUGUUCGGAAUUACUGGGCGUAAAGCGCACGUAGGCGGAUUGGAAAGUUGGGGGUGAAAUCCCAGGGCUCAACCCUGGAACUGCCUCCAAAACUAACAGUCUAGAGUUCGAGAGAGGUGAGUGGAAUUCCAAGUGUAGAGGUGAAAUUCGUAGAUAUUUGGAGGAACACCAGUGGCGAAGGCGGCUCACUGGCUCGAUACUGACGCUGAGGUGCGAAAGCGUGGGGAGCAAACAGGAUUAGAAACCCUAGUAGUCCC